AAAUAUGACGUUGUGAAGAACAGCGUGGUUUUGACUUAUCAUAUAAGCGAUGCUGCUAAUCACCCUGACUGGGCCGUGUCGUCUGGAACUAUUGUUACCCGGAUGAACUCAGGAGAUCGUGUAUGGAUACGAGUAUCCGAUUUUUACAAAUGCAUGCAUUAUGUUUUUGGUACUGGUUACGGCACUUCUUUGUUUGUGGGAUAUUUGCUAAAUGGGGCUGUUUGGACAACAGUCAGUCCACGUCAUCUCCGUUUGCCGAAUACUUACUAAAUUAUUUAACACAUUCAUGAAUUACCGGGUCGAGACGCCAAACAAUUUUCUUUUUUCCAGGAGUACGUGUAGUUUUCUUUAUUAGUCUGUUUAAUCCGUUAACGGCCUAUAAGUCUCUAGGAAAGUCUUUAAUAAAAAAAAAAAUAAGUGAACUGCCCACAGCUAGCAAUCAUGUGCGUGACUGACCGUAGCUAGGAUUCUCAUGGGGAUAUCUAUUAAAUGUAAAUGUAAUCAUUGAGUUAAAUUAAGUUCUCAAACGAUACCAGCAGUCCAUCAUUUCUAUAUUUUAAUAAAAAUGAUUAUUUAUAUAGAAUUUUGCCAUAAUAUCGCAUAUUUUAGAAUAUAAAAAAUUUCCGGGUGUUUAGAUUUCCCCUUUUAUUUGUUAUAUUUCUUAUUAAUUAAAGCAUGACUACA
rnacentral:misc_RNA from 1 species